AUUGAACGCUGGCGGCAGGCCUAACACAUGCAAGUCGAACGGCAGCACGGGAGCAAUCCUGGUGGCGAGUGGCGAACGGGUGAGUAAUAUAUCGGAACGUGCCCAGUCGUGGGGGAUAACGCAGCGAAAGCUGUGCUAAUACCGCAUACGAUCUCUGGAUGAAAGCGGGGGACUCGCAAGGGCCUCGCGCGAUUGGAGCGGCCGAUAUCAGAUUAGCUAGUUGGUGGGGUAAAGGCCCACCAAGGCGACGAUCUGUAGCUGGUCUGAGAGGACGACCAGCCACACUGGAACUGAGACACGGUCCAGACUCCUACGGGAGGCAGCAGUGGGGAAUAUUGGACAAUGGGCGAAAGCCUGAUCCAGCCAUGCCGCGUGUGUGAAGAAGGUCUUCGGAUUGUAAAGCACUUUAAGUUGGGAGGAAGGGCAGUAAAUUAAUACUUUGCUGUUUUGACGUUACCGACAGAAUAAGCACCGGCUAACUCUGUGCCAGCAGCCGCGGUAAUACAGAGGGUGCAAGCGUUAAUCGGAAUUACUGGGCGUAAAGCGCACGUAGGCGGCUAUUCAAGUCAGAGGUGAAAGCCCGGGGCUCAACCCCGGAACUGCCUUUGAAACUAGGUAGCUAGAAUUCUGGAGAGGUCAGUGGAAUUCCGAGUGUAGAGGUGAAAUUCGUAGAUAUUCGGAAGAACACCAGUGGCGAAGGCGACUGACUGGACAGAUAUUGACGCUGAGGUGCGAAAGCGUGGGGAGCAAACAGGAUUAGAUACCCUGGUAGUCCACGCCGUAAACGAUGAUAACUAGCUGUCCGGGCACUUGGUGUCUGGGUGGCGCAGCUAACGCAUUAAGUUAUCCGCCUGGGGAGUACGGUCGCAAGAUUA
rnacentral:rRNA from 1 species